UACGUAGGUGGCAAGCGUUAUCCGGAAUUAUUGGGCGUAAAGAGCGCGCAGGUGGUUGAUUAAGUCUGAUGUGAAAGCCCACGGAUUAACCGUGGAGGGUCAUUGGAAACUGGUCGACUUGAGUGCAGAAGAGGGAAGUGGAAUUCCAUGUGUAGCGGUGAAAUGCGUAGAGAUAUGGAGGAACACCAGUGGCGAAGGCGGCUUCCUGGUCUGUAACUGACACUGAGGCGCGAAAGCGUGGGGAGCAAACAGGAUUAGAUACU
rnacentral:rRNA from 1 species